ACACAUCACGAUGCAGGCGAAGAAAGAUGAUCACGCUUGUAGACACGCGUGCACGCGCCAGCCGGUGGAAGCCUCACCAGCAGCUAAAAGGAAGCCGUGCGACGUGUGUCCGCCAUGCCAGGCGCCGUGCAACCCCGCCGC